UGUAAAUUAGCAAAAUGGACUUGAAAGGCCCAAGGCCCACAUCCAAGAAACAAACCUAAUACUAAUAAAAAUAAUAUAUGAAAAUUAAAUAUAAAAGAAAAGAAAAAUAAUUAAAAAAAAAACAAAAUAGAAAGAGUGGGGGAACACGUCACUUUAAAGAGGAAAGAGAUGUUUCUUUCAAAAUUUUAAGACAUCCCAAUCCACUAAUUAUGUCGUGACAUGUGGUGAGGUUAAAAAGAAUCAAAAGAAAGAAAAAAGAAACAGCAAGAACAAAUGCUCUCUCUCAUUAUCUCGUCAUCUCACAUCACACACAAAACAAACUCUCCCCUACCAUUUCCAAUUAAAUUUUUUACUUCCAAGAUCCACUCAAACAAAACUUUUUACAUCUCUAUUCCCUCAAUUCCAAAUCUUAAAGUAAAAAGAAACAAGAUUUUUGAACAAAGCUCACACUCUUGAUUUCGGGAACACGGAGGCGACAAGCAUAAACAUACAAACGCGUUAAGAACAUAGGAAGAAAUAUAUUGUUUCAGAGCAGUGGCGGUGAUGGCAGUUGGUGUUGCGGUGUUGGUUCCGAGACUUUUUGGUAGUUGGUAAUGAUAUGAGUUGGUGGUAUUUAGAGAUGAUUAAUGGUGAUUUUCACAUGAGGUUCAUAUGGUGGUUUAGGUUGAUAUGUGAGAGAGGAAAGGUGGUGAUUUAUGGUGGUUCUUGUGAGCUUUAUUUAUGUAGAGAAGAAACAUGAAAGUGUGCUUAAGUAGUUAUGUAGUGACUUUCAUGGAGGUUUGGGUUGGUAUGCAAAUUUCUAUUGUUUUUUCUUCUUCUGAAAAUUGAGUGAGAUACCAUUUGGAUAAGGGGCGCCGUUUCUCUCAUUGGUGACCCCCCAUCAUGCAUUGGCCAAUGGGUUUAUAUAGUAGAAAAUGUAGGGUUUCAAUUUUAAAUAUUCCCAAAAUGUCCAUAUGAGAUAUGUUAGUGAGAUUAAAAGAGGUUAAAUAAUUACAAUGAAAUAAAUUAAAUGUUUUUUUAUAAAGACAAAUAAAAUCAAAUGACCAAAGAUUUGUCUAUAUUUAUUUUUUCUAAAUACUUUGACAAAUAGGUAAAAAUAAAAGGGCUUAAAAUGAAUAAAAAACUGAGUGUAAAAAUGCUCAAAAAAAAUAAACUGAAUGCACCAAAAUGAUCAGUGUGAAAUAAACUUAUUGGAAAAAUACAGCGUUUCUUUUAAUUUUAAAAUAAAUUUGACUGAUUAAACAGGCUCGAGCUGAUUAAAAAGUGGCCGAAAAAUUAGCUGAAAAAUAAAUCGAGCAUACCAGAUUAAACUACGCGAAACGUAGACUAAUAAAGUUGAUGUCUGGAAGCUUGAUUUUAAAAUUUUCGUCCACUGAUUUGACGCACAUUCGACGAUUAAUUCAAUCGGUUUUCCUGUAGAUCCGAAAAAAUUAUUUCGACUGAUAUUCUAGGCACUAUGCGGUAUGGAAUGCAUGGUUUGCUAUGUAGACAUGCAAUAGCUAUGAUGAAUGUAUUGAAUCAGCAAUUCAGGGUCAAAAUUGGGGUGUGACAGUUGCCCCUAUUUAAGUAUCUUCAACUAGAGAAUAUGAAGCUGGAAACUCUUCAUAUGAUCAUAGUGGGAGAUAGUUAAAUACUAAGAAGACCCGGAUUUUGAUCCUGAAUCCCUAUGACAUGAUAUGAUAUGAUAUGCGCUGAUGCAAGAUUCUCUUUGUUGUAAUUUUUAUCUGCUAGGGAUAUGGUGAACCCUUAAUAGGAGAUGCUACUAGACAGACCAAUCUGUUGGGAAUGUUGAUGGUCCACAGGGAGACAGAUAAAUGGCAAACACCAACUCGCUGGGGAAAACAAUCCUGCUGGAGAAUCAGACACACACUAGAGAGUAUUCAAAGUGAAAUUCGAUGAACGACACUUAGAAUACAAGAGAUUUCGGCAGUAAGUUCACACAUGACUUACUAAACCCGAAUAUGAAAAUUUUCUACAACAGGUUCAUAUAUGACCUGAUAACACUGAAACAAACAUAGAGAAAGAUUCUUCAAAACUGGUUCAUAUAUGACCUGGCAAUACAGGAAUAAAGCUCGACAAUAGGUUCAUAUAUGACCUGACAAUGCUGGGGAAUAUCAAGAAUCUGGUAAUACUGGAAUAAAGCUCAACAACAGGUUCAUAUAUGACCUGACAAUGGAAUAAAGUUCAAUAACAGGUUCAUAUAUGACCUGAAUAGCACUGAACAACAGGUUCAUAUAACUGGACUAUUACCUUAUUUCAAGUUGUUGUCCAACAUAUAUGACCUGAAUAGCACUGAACAACAGGUUCAUAUAUGACCUGAUAAUGGAAUAAAGUUCAAUAACAGGUUCAUAUAUGACCUGAAUAUCACUGAACAACAGGUUCAUAUAUGACCUGAUAAUGGAAUAAAGUUCAAUAACAGGUUCAUGUAUGACCUGAAUAGCACUGAACAACAGGUUCAUAUAUGACCUGAUAAUGGAAUAAAGCUCAACAACAGGUACAUAUAUGACCUGAAUAACACUGAACAACAGGUUCAUAUAUGACCUGAUAAUGGAAUAAAGCUCAACAACAGGUUCAUAUAUGACCUGAAUAAAGCUCAACAAUAGGUUCAUAUAUGACCUGACAAUGGAAUAAAGUUCAACAACAGGUUCAUAUAUGACCUGAAUAGCACUAAACAACAGGUUCAUAUAUGACCUAAUAAUGGAAUAAAGUUCAACAACAGGUUCAUAUAUGACCUGAAUAACACUGAACAACAGGUUCAUAUAUGACCUGAUAAAGCUCAACAACAAUUGGACUCUUAACCGUAAGUAAUGUAUUAUAACCAACUUUUAACGGAUUUUGCCAACAACAAUUGGACUUGAAAAUGACUGCGAAAACCGGAUGUGGGUUUAAGGGCACCAAAUACAAAUUGGAAUUAGAGGUCAAAGGGUAUAGGAUCAACAACAAGACCUGGGUCAAUGCAAAAUGAGCACGAAGUGCAUUUCGGCUAUGCAUGAUUUGGAUUUUUUUAUGCAUGGUAUAUGAAUGAUCAUGAUAUGAGAAUGCUGACACUUUAGUGGAUAGGGAGUUUGUAAAGACUAUUUAUGGAGAUCAUGAUUCCUCAACACCGAGAACUCAACCAAAUAUUUUAUGAUAGAUGUUAUCAAAGGAGAAUUCUAUCAAGCUUGACAACCACAACUUAUAUCAUGAUUCCUCAACACCGAGAACUCAACCAAAUAUUUUAUGAUAGAUGUUAUCAAAGGAGAAUUCUAUCAAGCUUGACAACCACAACUUAGCCAAUGGGAUCCUUUUGGAGGAUUAAUGAAUCAUUCUAGCAUAAUUUCCGGGCACUCAUCUUAAACUCAAUAGUUGUUGACGUAUCGCAGAAUUUGUUUGAGCAGUUUGAAAGCAUGAAGAAAGAGGUUUUUCCCCUCUGUGGCUCAUCUUUCCCUAGUCUGUUGGGACUUUGAAAAUGUUCACCUUGAAAGUGAGUUUGGAAACAACUUGCCAUGAGACUACCUCGAGAUGGCUUGCCCCAAGUGUUUGAAACUUGUAAUGGUCUGAACUUGACUAACCAAAUGUUGGAAUGGUAGACUCUUGGUUGAAUUUCCUUGGAUAGUUGGACUUAUUGAGCUCUGAGGUGGCUUGCCCCGGUCUGAGUCUUGAAGCAAAUUACUCUUGGCGAGAUGACCCUUAGGGUGAUUAGCUCGAAUUAACUGAUGCUCAAGGUGAUUUCCCUAUUUGGAUUUCUUUCACUCUUAUUCAUUUUCCUCAACUGCUAUGAUUGGAAUUUCUUUGAUGCUAGUGUUUGAUCGCAAUUAAGAUUGUGCAUUCAAAAAUGGUUAAUUUAAUGCAAUGUUUAUGCAAAAAUCUGAACCAAAGGUUUAUUGAUAUGAAUGGGUGAAAUACGUUGAAUGAGUCGUUUUGAUAGCGAACACAAUGGGCGUGCAGAUCACGUUCAUUUCACAUGUAUGCAAGUUGGUGCCAUAAUGAUUGACAAAAAUCGCUAGGAGGUCAGGUUUACACAACCUGUUAUUGUAUGCUUUCAAUAAACCCUGUUCUCAAAUUAGGUCUUUUUGUAAGGGUUGUAAUGUGGUCUGGUUCACGGUUUGUUUGAAACCAAGGGAUAUAAGGCUUCAAAAUUUAUUUUUUACCCACCCCUUCUUCUUGAUGAUCUCCAGUUCUAUGUUCAGUUAAUUCAAUACACGCAUUCGACUUCGAAGGUGCGAAAGUGAAAAUGGGGAUUCAAGGCGAGAUUUUCUUGAAAUGGCAGUCACCUUAUUUUGUUUUUGUUGAGGAUUUAAUGACCUCUUUUGAUUGAUUUUCUUCAUCCCUGAUUUUGCCUGGACCGCUUCUUUGAAGCUUUCGGUCCAUCGGGAUGCCCUGACUUUUGCCUAAGUCAUUUUGUGGUGUUUGACUUAGCGGACUUUUUCUAUAUUUUUUAACGCAUGUUGACUGCCACAUUAUUGGUGGAUGAGGAUCAACCAACACUAAUUUUAGCUUUUCUCAACUCCUUUGAUACUUCAACAUGUGCGCGAAGGAUAACCUAUGGUUGAACCUAAUUGGAGGAUGUACAUAUGGACGAUUUUUGAAAGAUCGAAUGCACGAUCAAACUAUCUGAACAUAACUACCCUGCCCCAGGUUAAGAUUAAGGGUUUUAGAUCUGAAAUAAACACCAACUUCUAGGCUCAAAGUGGUUGACUAGGGAUUAACUCCUUAUCUCUUCAGUGUUUGGGGAUUUGAAACAAUGCCUUACAUCAUCGACAAGGUUUUACUCAAAAGCAUACCACAACAAUUUCAGGUGUUCCGUUUUCAUCAUCCUCCUUCCAAUCUUUGUUAACACAAAGGUUUGAUAAACAAAAGUGAAUGAGAGGAGUAUUUUUGUUUUUAACAUAAAUGAAAAACGAGUGAAUACGAAUGGAUUAAUUCAAAAGAUGCAUAAACAUUUCAUUAAUCUUACCAAUUCAAAGAAAACAACAAUGCGUAAAAGCAAUUAACAAUCAACAUGCGAGGACACUGCAAAAGAAAUGUUGAAACAACCAAAUGAUUGCCAGCUUUAGGGAAUAACUUCUUCAAACUUGAUCCAUUAACCUAGGGGGACACCCCUUGAGACCUUCGCACUUAUUCGGCCGAUGGGUUAACGUUUACCACCAAGCUUCCUUCUUGAAAGGCUAUGUACUCGUUGUCAAUUAACUGUUGUACUUUGGCUUUGAAAGUGUUGCAGUCUUCGGUUGAAUGCCCUUCUGAUCCAGCAUGAUAUCCACAUUGCACAUUUGGGUCAUACCCGGGUGGGUAAGGUUGUGGAAUCGGCUUGAGAGACUUAGGAACCACCAACGAGUUUUGAAUUAGAGGUUGUAGAAGUUGGCUAUAUGUCAUGAGGAUUAGAAAUCCAAGGCGAUAUCUCAAUGCUCUUACCAGGAAAUGAUGAUAUCUCAUUAGCCACCUCCUUGACCUCUUCCUUGUGGUACAAAACCUUGAGGGGUUUCAGGGGUCCUUUCCCUUUCACAUUACUUGGCCCAGAAAUCAAGAUAUAUGUACCUGAGCCUUCCUCCUUGAGUGUUGGUGACGUUAUGUCAAUCAAUCAUUGCAGCUUGAGCUUAAAACUCUUGCAUUCCUCGAUGGAGUGCCCCAAUGUUCCAGUAUGGUAUCCGCACUUGACCUUCAGGUGAUCUUCUUCAAAGACUAAGCUCUUUUUGUUAAUCGGUUCUCGUACCAAGGCUUUCAGCGCUAAGCAAGAAUCCAGGUUAUGUCCCAAUGCUCCUUUAUGGAAUUCACAUGUUGCAUUUGGAUUGUACCAUGGCAGGCAUGGUGACGUAGGUGUGAGAGCUCGAGGGGUCACCAAAGCAUUCUGGAUCAGUUGCGGAUAGAGCUUUCUAUAUGAUGAGGAGUCGCCACAUAGAAUUUCCCUUGACUUAGGGUAACACCAAGUGGACGUGGAGUAAUAACUCCCUCCGCUGCAGCAAUAGGUAUGGGAUGACCCUCUUUUUUCAAUAAGGCUUGUAGGGUUUCCAGGAACCAUCCCAUUUGGCUCUUCAAAAGAUUGAGUUCCUCCUUCAAUGCCUCUUGACUUUUCCUUAGCUCGUCCAUCAUCUCUUGAGACAUGGUUCUUUGUUCUAAACGCGUGUCAGGAAUCACUUUGCUGAUAUGGACAAAGGAUGGAUGAGUUUUUUUGUAUUUUGUUUGGAAAAUGACAUGCGUUAUGGUGAGAUGCAGAUGCAAUGAAUGCAAUGCAAGCCAUGCAUAUUUGUUUUUUCCUCAAUACAUUGGUUCAAAAGUCUGAGGUACUGAUGAAUCUGAUUACUUUCCAAGAAUAGGUUCUCACCGGGUAUGAUCUAGGGUUUCAAAAAAGUUCCUAGAGUCAUGGAUCCAUUAGAGUGUUUGCGGCCUAUGGCAACUUACUUGUCGGGCAUCAACUCCAUCCAAAGAAUCUACUCUAAGUGAGGUUCUCGCAUCAAUCCAACGAGAAAUUCAUCUCGCAGACCCACACUACGCAACCAUCUUUCCUAGUUGGACAAAGAACUAAGGUUCUACAAAUGGUUCUCAGAGUCAUGGAUCCUAAAGAAAAUAUCGAAGCUUACGGCAACUUACUUGCCGAGCGACAACAUCCUCUCAAGAAUCUACUCUAAGUAAGGUUCUCGUACCGACCCAACGAGAAAUACAUCUCGCGGACCCGCACAACUCAACCUCGUCCUAUCUUAUGUUUUUACUUGAGACUCGGGUAAAAUGUCUUUCCCACAAGGUUUGCAAUCAGAGUAUCUCCAAGUAGCAAAGCAUAAUUGAACCAAUACAACAAAUUUAUAUCAAUAUGACAAUAAAGAUAGCAAAAUCAAGAAAGAAAAUCCACACAAGUAAAUAAACAAAGGAACACAAACGACCUAACUAGGCUUGACUCACUUAGGGAGAAGACUCCCCAGCAGAGUCGCCAUCUGUCGCACCUCGAAAAAUGGGGAUACGACUUUGAGCGAAGCGCGAUCGCAUGCUCGCAAUGAUGGACUGAACAGAGUCGCCACCGAACUUUAUUUAUUCCUAAAAAGGAAAGGGGAAAUAUCGAUAAAACCCUUAAAAGAAAGGAUAAGAUAUGAUCAUCGCAACCAAUAUCAGGGUUCUGGAGUCGGUUACGCGAGGGGAAGGUAUUAGCACCCCUCACGUCCGUUGUACUCAACGGGAACCAUUAGGUUGGUUGUGUGCGUUAGUGUUAGUUGAAAUGUUAGGCUUUUCGAAUUAUUAGGUGGGAAAGAAAGAAAGGAUGGCCUUGAAGGCUCCAAGGCCCACAUCCAAGAACAAACCUAAUACUAUAAAAAUAAUAUAUGAAAAUUAAUAUAAAAGAAAAGAAAAAUAAAAAAAAAACAAAAUAGAAAGAGUGGGGAACAGUCACUUUAAAGAGGAAAGAGAUGUUUUUUCAAAUUUUAAGACAUCCCAAUCCACUAAUUAUGUCGCUGACAUGUGGUGAGGUUAAAAGAAUCAAAAGAAAGAAAAAGAAACAGCAAGGACAAAAAUGCUCUCUCUCAUUAUCUCGUCAUCUCACAUCACACACAAAACAAACUCUCCCUACCAUUUCCAAUAAAUUUUUACUUUCAAGAUCCACUCAAACAAAACUUUUUACAUCUCUAUUCCCUCAAUUCCAAAUCUUAAAGUAAAAGAAACAAGAUUUUUGAACAAAGCUCACACUCUUGAUUUCGGGAACACGGAGGCGACAAGCAUAACAUAACACCGUUAAGAACAUAGGAAAGAAUAUAUUGUUUCAGAGCAGUGGCGGUGAUGGCAGGUGGUGUUGCGGUGUUGGUUCCGAGACUUUUUUGUAGUUGGUAAUGAUAUGAGUUGGUGGUAUUUAGAGAUGAUUAAUGGUGAUUUUCACAUGAGGUUCAUAUGGUGGUUUAGGUUGAUAUGUGAGAGAGGAAAGGUGGUGGUUUAUGGUGGGUUCUUGUGAGCUUUAUUUAUGUAGGAAGAAACAUGAAAGUGUGCUUAAGUAGUUAUGUAGUGACUUUCAUGGAGGUUUGGGUUGGUAUGCAAAUU
rnacentral:lncRNA from 1 species